UACGUAGGGUGCAAGCGUUGUCCGGAAUCACUGGGCGUAAAGCGCACGCAGGCGGAUUGAUAAGUCAGGGGUGAAAUCCCGGAGCUCAACUUCGGAAUUGCCUUUGAUACUGUCUGUCUUGAGUCCGGGAGAGGUGAGUGGAAUUCCUAGUGUAGAGGUGAAAUUCGUAGAUAUUAGGAAGAACACCAGUGGCGAAGGCGGCUCACUGGCCCGGUACUGACGCUCAUGUGCGAAAGCGUGGGGAGCAAACAGG
rnacentral:rRNA from 1 species